rnacentral:rRNA from 1 species
GACGAACGCUGGCGGCGUGCUUAACACAUGCAAGUCGAACGGUGAAGCGCCUUCCUUUGUGGUGGGUGUGGAUGAGCGGCGAACGGGUGAGUAACACGUGAGUAACCUGCCCCCUUCUUCUGGAUAACCGCAUGAAAGUGUGGCUAAUACGGGAUAUUCUGGGUCUGUCGCAUGAUGGGUCUGGGAAAGAUAUUGUUUCGGUGGGGGAUGGGCUCGCGGCCUAUCAGCUUGUUGGUGGGGUGAUGGCCUACCAAGGCGGUGACGGGUAGCCGGCCUGAGAGGGUGGACGGUCACACUGGGACUGAGACACGGCCCAGACUCCUACGGGAGGCAGCAGUGGGGAAUAUUGCACAAUGGGCGCAAGCCUGAUGCAGCGACGCCGCGUGAGGGAUGGAGGCCUUCGGGUUGUGAACCUCUUUCGCCAGUGAAGCAGGCCUGCCUCGUUUGUGGGUGGGUUGACGGUAGCUGGAUAAGAAGCGCCGGCUAACUACGUG